AGCAGCCGCGGUAAUUCCAGCUCCAAUAGCGUAUAUUAAAGUUGUUGCAGUUAAAAGCUCGUAGUUGAAUUUCGGGAUUGACACAUCGGUCGUGCCUUAAGGGGUAUGAACUGGUGUAGUCAAUUUCUCACCUUCUGGAGAACCGCGAUGCCCUUAAUUGGGUGUCGCGGGGAACCAGGACCUUUACUUUGAAAAAUUAGAGUGUUUAAAGCAGGCAUUUUGCUUGAAUACAUUAGCAUGGAAUAAUAAAAUAGGACGGCAUGAUUCUAUUUUGUUGGUUUCUAGGAUCACCGUAAUGAUUAAUAGGGAUAGUUGGGGGCAUUAGUAUUCAAUUGUCAGAGGUGAAAUUCUUGGAUUUAUUGAAGCUAACUACUGCGAAAGCAUUUGCCAAGGAUGUUUUCAUUAAUCAAGAACGAAAGUUAGGGAUCGAAGACGAUCAGAUACCGUCGUAGUCUUAACCUAUAAACUAUGCCGACUAGGAAUCAGACGAUUGUUAAUUUUUUAAUGUACUUCGGUUUGG
rnacentral:misc_RNA from 1 species